rnacentral:rRNA from 1 species
GACGAACGCUGGCGGCGUGCCUAAUACAUGCAAGUAGGACGCAGUUGCGAAUGGGUGAGUAACGCGUAGGUAACUACCUAUUAGAGGGGGAUAACUAUUGGAAACGAUAGCUAAUACCGCCUACUAGUAGAUGGACCUGCGUUGUAUUAGCUAGUAGGUAGGGUAAUGGCCUACCUAGGCAACGAUACAUAGGCGACCUGGGAGGGGUGUCGGCCACACUGGGACUGAGACACGGCCCAGAAUCCCACGGGAGGCAGCAGUAGGGAAUCUUCGGCAAUGGGGGGAACCCUGACCGCGCAACGCCGCGGGAGUGAAGAAGGUUUUCGGAGCGUAAAGCUCUGUUGUUAAGGAAGCGGUACUUAACCAGAAAGGGACGGCUAACUACGUGCCAGCAGCCGCGGUAAUUC